GGAAAGAACAAAAAUUGCAAAACAAAUUAAAAAAAGAAUUAUAGAAAUUUGGAUAUUUUUAAGGUUGUAUCUGAUGAAAUGGCAAAGAGAAACCAUGUCAGAUCUGCCGAGGAAUGCAGAAGCAAAUCCAAAAAAAUGAGAUUUGAGUAUAGAAAGGUUGUGAAACAUAAUCAGAGAAGUGGAAGCAACCCUAUUACAUGUCCCUUUUAUAGGGAACUAGAGGAAAUCUUUCAUGGGGAUGUUAGCAUCACCCCUCAUAGGUUAUCCCGAAGUCUUCAUUUUGAAAGGGAGGGUGAAACCACAAAUGUGACUGAGGAAACCGCAUCCACCUCCAUGGCUAACACAGGCGAUGGAGGCACCCAGGAAACAACUACCAGACAAGACAGUGAUGAAGGCAAGUAGCCCAUCUGUAAUGCCUGAAGAUUUCUGCUAUGUGCGUGACAACAUUACUAUUUUGAUAAAAUAACAAAUGCUUUACUCUUUCUUUCCCCUUGAAAUUUUUCAGAUUCUGAUGACACUUGUCUCGAUGACACAAUCAUAAGUAUACCUUUCACCAUUUUGGAAAGUGGACCUACGCAAAUAGCAGGUGCGACUGGAGAACAAUUGGGAGACUUGCAAAGACGUGCAGAUGAUACAAGCGGUGGAACUGAUGCACGUAACGAUCCCGAUGAGGAACAGGAACAACCCAAUGUAUUGCUGUCUCCUGGAACAAGACUCUGAUCAAACAGGAACAGGAAUCGUCGCGCCAGAAGAGGAGAACAUAUUGCGCGCACUAUAAUGCAGAGUGCUAGUCGAGAGGCCCAACUUACCCGGAGAACACAGGAACGGUUCAUGGAGAUUGUACACGACAGCAUGAAAGACUGUAGGAGGACAGAAAUGGAACUUGUAAAUAUUAUGAAGGAAGAUGUAAGGAGAAGUGCACAGGACAGACAGAGAAUGUUGCAGUACAUGGAGACCAUGACUGAACUGUACCGGAGGAAAGUUGAUCAUGAAUGUUCACUUCCAACGGGGCAACAUGUUACUAUCGCCCAAGGAACCAUGCACACAUCAUUCAGGGCAUCUCCGGGUGAUAUUCCUCCCUCAACACCAGGCCCAGCUGUCUGUACAGAUUUCCAGGAGCAACCAUCCCCAUCGUAUGUUGGUGGGCAAUGUCAAGGGAACAAUUCCCCUGAACUCUUUGAUGAACUUCCUCCUGCUUAUGCUCCUGAUGGUUGUCCUGUCACUCCCACUAGUAACAUUAUUGAUGAUGACAACACAUUAGAGAACAUCAACAGGGAUGUUCAGAAUGCUGUGGAAGUCACUGAUCCCCUUCAGAAUGAAGGCUGCAUUGGAACCGUGCAAUGUGAGAGCAAUGCUGGAACAUCUUCCUUGCAAUGCGCUGUUGCACCUCAACAAAAACAAAAUAAACCAUGCAGUUCUCGUACUGGGAGGAUAAUCAAGAAAAAAAAAAUAUUUUCCCCAUAAGGGAAAACAUUUAUAGGGAAAAGGUUAUGUUUUGAAACCGCAGAUAUGUUUCAGCAUUCAAUGUUUACCCUGUUAUGUGCCCGAUAAGGAGGGACUGUAACCAUUUCUCCUUGAACCAAAUUAAAGUUUAGUUUUCAUGUUAAGGAAAACGUUUGUAUGUCACCAUGUGCAUAUGGAUAUGUUCUGACAUAAUGUAUAUACAGUUUAUAUAAAAGCCUGCUUUGUUUACAUAAUGGAAAACAAGUCAACAGACAGUUUUUUUUGUAAAGAAAAAAGAUAUUUAAUCGUGUUUAAAAAUGUUAAGUUAUAUUGUUGACAAAAUACAGCUGUGUUCUCUGAAA